rnacentral:lncRNA from 1 species
UGGUAAAACCCCUGAAAAAUGCAGCAAUUCAAGCAACCAGCCAAGCCAAGCAGUACAAAGGUUAGAAUAUGAGGAAGUCUUCUUCAUGAAUUCUUUAAGCAUGGAGGGAAACUUAGCCUGGAAUGCCCAUUGAGCCCUGGUGCCAGAUUAUGAAGAUAGCCUAGUUAUGCUCAAUAUGUCUGUUGACUGGUGUGUGUGUGUGUG